UAACAGGGGUAGCAAUACCUGCUGACGACCGGCAAACGGGUGCGGAACACGUACGCAACCUUCCCAAAACUGGUGAAUAGCCCUCCGAAAGGAGGAUUAAUACACCGUAACAUAAUGAAGUGGCAUCACUUUAUUAUUAUAGCUCCGGCGGUUUUGGAUGGGCGUGCGCCUGAUUAGGUAGUUGGCGGGGUAACGGCCCACCAAGCCUGCGAUCAGUAACUGGUGUGAGAGCACGACCAGUCACACGGGCACUGAGACACGGGCCCGACUCCUACGGGAGGCAGCAGUAAGGAAUAUUGGUCAAUGGACGAAAGUCUGAACCAGCCAUGCCGCGUGAAGGAUGAAGGCCCUCUGGGUUGUAAACUUCUUUUAUCUGGGACGAAAAACAGGGAUUCUUCCUUGCUCGACGGUACCAGAGGAAUAAGCACCGGCUAACUCCGUGCCAGCAGCCGCGGUAAUACGGAGGGUGCAAGCGUUAUCCGGAUUUACUGGGUUUAAAGGGUGCGUAGGUGGGUUGGUAAGUCAGUGGUGAAAUCUUCGAGCUUAACUCGGAAACUGCCAUUGAUACUAUCAAUCUUGAAUUAUCUGGAGGUAAGCGGAAUAUGUCAUGUAGCGGUGAAAUGCUUAGAUAUGACAUAGAACACCCAUUGCGAAGGCAGCUUACUACGGAUAUAUUGACACUGAGGCACGAAAGCGUGGGGAUCAAACAGGAUUAGAUACCCUGGUAGUCCACGCCCUAAACGAUGGAUACUCGACAUCAGCGAUACACUGUUGGUGUCUGAGCGAAAGCAUUAAGUAUCCCACCUGGGAAGUACGAUCGCAAGAUUGAAACUC
rnacentral:rRNA from 1 species